GGUCGUAGCUCAGUGGUUAAGAGUGCUCGCCUAUCAUGUGCGGGAUCCUGGGUUUGAUCCUCAGCACCA
rnacentral:tRNA from 1 species